CACCCAACAGCUGCACACAAUCCUUUGUAGAUACCAUGAGAGCACAGCACCUCACCAUGGACUGGAGCUGGAGAAUCCUCUUCCUGGUGGUAUUGGCUACAGGUGUCCACUCCCAGGUGCAGUUGGUGCAGUCUGAGGCUGAGCUGAGGAAGCUGGGGGAAUCCGUAAAGGUCUCCUGCAAGGCAUCUGGGUACACCUUCACCAGCUACACAAUGAACUGGGUGCAACAGGUACCAGGAAAGAGCCUGCAGUACAUGGGAUAGAUCAACAUGAAAGCUGGGAAUCCAACGUAUGCCCAGGGAUCCAGUCGAUCUGUUUUCUCCAUGGACACCUCUAUCAGCACAGCCUAUCUACAGAUCAGCAGCCUGAACUCCAAGGACACGGCCGUGUAUUACUGUGCAAGAGACGUGAUAUCUUCUUUGACUUCCUGGUUGAACCAAACAUUCUUGAUCUAG